UAUCCAAGGAAGGCCUCCCUGAGAUA
rnacentral:piRNA from 1 species